rnacentral:lncRNA from 1 species
CUAGUAUCCAUGAAGAUGAGGAUUCGAUCCCUGGCCCCGCUUAGUGGGUUAAGGAUCUGGCGUUGCCAAGAGCUGUGGCAUAGGUCACAGACGUGCAUCAGAGCUGGCAUUGCUGUGGCCAGUAGCUGUGGCUCCCAUUCGACUCCUAGCCUGAGAACUUACCUAUGCCACAGGUGUGGCCCUAAAAAGAAAAAAAAAGAAAGAAAGAAAUCAGAAGCAAACAAAUGGCCCAAGUCUGUCAUCUGCUUAGCUGACCACACAGAAAUGGGGUCAGAAUUCAGAAUUAAUAAGCCGAUGCUUCCUAGCUGUGGAUCUUUGGGGUAACACUGUGAAUGCUGAGCCUCAGUUUCCUUCUUGCCAGGUGAGAAUGAUGGCAGAUUCUAUCUCUUUUGGGUGAUUAAAUAAAGGUUAAAGGUGGUAAUGUUUUCAGAGUAGAAUGCUUGGCCUCGAGUAGAUAAAUAAACAAUUCUUUUUGCUUCCUGGGUCUGUGGCUCUGGGACAGGUGAUUUGUCUUCUUUUUCCGCAUCUUUGACAGGUCACAAAUACAGGAAAGGAGUUCUCCUGGGGUCCAGCAGGUUAGGGAUCCUGUGUUGUCCCUGCAGCAAGCUGCUCAGGUCACUGCUAUGGCGCAGGUUCAAUCCCUGGCCCAGGAACGUCCAUAUACCAUGGACAUGGCCAAAGAAACAAAACAAACACAAACAAAGGCAGGUGCAAAGCCAAGCAAACACAAACACCCACUCGCUUUCCAGGUCUUGAACCAAGGGGCGCUGCCUGGAAAUGUGCAUAGGUUUGCCUUAGGGAUUUCAUCGUGUCCCUACAAUGAAGGCAAACGCUGCAGGCAGGUGGGUGGGCAGAGAAGAACUUGCUGUGGCGGGGUCUGUGUGGGGGGUAAGGUCCGCCUAACAGAUCUACCGUAUUCACCCGUGUUUCCGUGUACUGUCCAGUGCUUUAAAUGUAACCGUGUGAUCCCCCUGCCGCUUUUCAUCUUGUCAAAUUGAAACUCUGUAACUAAACACUCACCCUCUUCCCCCAGCCCCUGGCCACCACCAUUCAACUUUCUGUCUCUGUGAAUCCGACUAUUCCAAGUCCUCAUCCAAGUGGAAUGUGUCGUUUUGUGAAUGGCUUAUUUCAUUCAGCAUAACGCCCUCAAGCUUCAUCCAUGUCAUAGCGUGGAUCAGAAUUCUCGUCCUUUUUAAGAAGGAAAAAUAAAUAGUCCACUUACAAAAGAUAGCACAUUUUGUUUAUCUGCGCCUCCUUCUAGAGACGCUCAGGUUGUUUCCACAUGUUAACAAUUUAACACUUGUAUGAACACAAAUAUCUCUUCAAGACCCUGCGUUUCGUUUUUGAAGAUAUACCCUGAAGGGAAAUUGCUGGCUAGUCUGGUAGUUCUAAUUUUAUUUUUGUUUUUUUGAGGAACUACUGUACUCUUUUCCACAGAGGCUGCAGGAACAGUUUGAAUGAAUGACCCUGCAUGAUAGACACAUGCUUCCCUAAGACUGUGAGCUCCCCAAGCUGGGAAACACCCCCUCACUCCUCCUACUGGAUCCACUGCACAUCUAGGGCGGUGCCUGGAAACUAGAAGGGCUCAAGGUGUGUUUGCUGACCUAGAUGGAUUGUCCCCAGCCAGCCUCCAUUCUUCUCUAGCCUGAGGGUAGCUUUUCUUCUUACACAGCACUGCUACCUGCUGGAGAAAUUGUGACAUUGCAGUUGCCCAGCUAACGUGGGUGCCUUUGGUACGCAGCUAAUGUUGUCUUGGAGGGUUUAGAUUUUUGUAAUCCUUUAGACAAGACUGCGGUUUAUUUUUUGCUUCGUAAAGUUUUUUUCUCAGAGAUAAAAACAUAAUGGAGUUAAGCUUACGGGUGCACAAAAAAACAUCUGUGUGUGUGUGAGAGAGAGAAAGGAGUUCCCUUUGUGGCUCAGCCGAAAUGAAUCUGACUGGCAUCCAUGAGGAAACAGGUUGGAUCCCUGGCCUCGCUCAUUGGGUUAAAGGUCCACUGCUGCCGUGAGCUGUGGUGUAGGUUGCAGGCACGGCUGGGAUCUGGUGUUGCUGUGGCUGUGGUGUAGGCAAGCAGUUGUAGCUGCAAUUCGACCUCUGGCCUGGGAAAUUCCAUAUGCUGCAGGUACAGGCCUUAAAAAAAAAAAAAGAAGAUAUCACUGACUGCAGUCGGCAAUAAGGUAUAGACACACACUGACACACAUGCACACAAAUGCACAAGCCAGCUUCUCUAAAGAAAGUGGUUGCUUGAAGGAUUACAUCACUCGUCCAAGGUCAUACAGCUGACAAGCCUGGGAGCUGGGAGCUGGCAAGAAGGUCUGAUACUGGUGGUGUGCAAGGAGCCCAGGGCACUGGCAGGAGUCCUCCUGAGAGGCACCUGGGAACACGUGCACAGCACCAGGUGGCUCUCAAAUCACCCUGUCUCAUCCCCCUCCUCUCAAUGAGCAGUGUUGCUGGUCCUUGACUUACAAUGACUGCAAUUCUCUGCCCAGGCAAGAUCCCAGCCAGCUGAGCUGGCUCAGGGGCUGCCCCUCCCCACUGCUCCCUCCUCUUCCUCACCCCAGCCCUGGCUCCCCGGCCGAGCCAGACCACGAAGAGGGAACGAGGUGUGCAAAGGCUGUGAGCCCCGGAAUUGCUGGCAUCUCCAGCAGCUGGAGCUCAUAGAGCAUGUGUGGGAGGCGGGCAGACACAGACCACAGAGGGCACCUGACCAGCCCUGGGCCCUCACACUGUGUCCUGGGCCCUCAUACUGUGUCCCGAAACAGGGGGAAGCCUUGAGAGGAAGCAGGGGAGGUGACUGGAUCAACUGUGUAAGGAAAAGUAUCACUCUGCUGGUUUUAGUGGCUGACUUUGGAUUCACCUGUGAAUCUGCGUUUUUCUUCCCCAAUCCAGUAGACUGUUUCCAGGUGAGAAAUAAAAUAUCACCUGCCAUAUCAAGCGACAAAAGAUGUCACAGUCUUUAGUGACACCACCUUGUGGCCACCUCCGAGGGUGAGCUGGUGAGCCCUGAGGGAACUCAAGAAGGAAACCAAUCCUUGCCAUCUAGAAUCUGUCAGGUGGCAGCCGUUCCCUAAGGUGAGCCCUUUUUAUAACUCAGGUUAUAAAAAGCAUGGGAUACUGGCCCCAGGUAGCUGAGGUGCAUGGCAAAGGAAUGAUUUCCGUGAGCCCAGACCUGUGCAUCCUUCUAUGCACAGAAAAGGAUAAAUUCCUUGAAAUAUCUGAUUCUCUUGUAUUAACAAUGAAGUUUUGUUCCUACUACCUGCCCUUUGUUACAAAACUCCUGUAUAUCCUAGCUCCCCUCGCCUCCUCCGAGCUGUUUUCUCAGGGAUGCUUGAGACGCUGCCUCCUGGGGCUUAAGUCCUCAGUUUUUUUCCAGCAAAUAAAACAUAGCUCUAAACUUUUAGGUUGUACAUAUUUUUUUAAGAGGACACAGGGGCUUAACAAAUGUGUGAUAAACUACCAGUGGUAUUCAUCUUAGAAAAUUGAACUCAGGGUUCUUGUUGUGGCUCAGGAGUAACGAACCCAACUAGUAUCCAUGAGGACUCAGGUUCGAUCCCUGGUCUCCCUCAGUGGGUUAAGGAUCCGGCGUUGCUGUGAGCUGUGGUGUAGAUCGCAGAUGUGGCGUAGAUCCUGUGUUGUUGUGGCUGUGGUGUAAGCUGGUGGCUACAGCUCUGAUUCAACCCCUAGACUGGGAACUUCCAUAUG